UCCUGCUGCUCAGGCCCAGCCCCAGACCCUACCCCGUACCUGGAAGGGCUCUGGCCCCGCCCCUGACGGCCAAACGCUCACAGGCAAAUUCUCCAGGCCGCGGGCCACGUCCGGCCGCUCCAUCAGGGCUUCAGAGCCUGGAAAUUACAGAGUUGAUGACACAGGAAACCACUUCUACUGAAGAUGAAAUAUUGACUCCCUAAUUAGCUCAGUCUCUUGCCUAGAGGACUGUGCAUGGCUGUAUUUAACCGCCUGGGAAGUGGCUCUGCAAAAAUGCUGGCUCAGCGAGUUAUGCUCUACCAGCUCAUGAAGCAAACAACUAUAUGGCAUCAAAGGACAAACAAAAUGCUUUAUUUUAUUGUGAUGAAUAAGACUUAUAAUGUCAAGAUUUUAAAUAAAUUUUCUGUGUGACUAGCAUUUCUAUAAAGUUUACUUGUACUAUCACAUGGUUUUUGACCGAGAAAUUGUGACUGUUGUGCCAUUAUUAUUAGCAGAAAUGUUAUUAGCAUCACUUUCACUCAUGCAUUAGGUAAAUGUGUGUAUCAUUCAUGUUCUUAAUCUGUGUUUGAUUUAUUAUUAAAUAUUUAUGACUAUGUGAGGAAAAAAUAAGAAAAAUAAAACUUACAGAUAACAUGUGGUACAAUAAUUUUUAAAAUGGUUACAUUUACCCAUUGUAUACAGUUGUCCCUUGGUAUCUGUGGGCGAUUGGUUCGAGGAUACCCAUGGAUACCAAAAUCAGUAUAUGCUCAAGUUCUUUAUAUAAAAUGGUAUAGUAUAUAACCUACACACAUCCUCCUGUGUACUUUAAAUUAUCUCUAGAUUACUUAUAAUACCUGAUACAAUGUAAAUGCUAUGAAAGUAAUUGCUGGCAUGUAGCAAAUUCAAGUUUUGCUUUUCAGAGAUUUUUGAAAUUUUAUUUUUUGAUAUCUUCAGUCUCUGGUUAGUGAAUCUGCAGAUAUGGAACCUAUGAAUAUAAGAGUGUGACUGUAUUAGGGAUAAGAGGACAGUGAAGUUUCUAGCACAAAUAAAAUAGUCUGUAGCUUGUGUGCACUUAA